rnacentral:tRNA from 5 species
GAGAAAGACAUAGAGGCUAUGGUUCUGGCUUGAAACCAGUUUUAGGGGGUUCGAAUCCUUCCUUUCUUA